rnacentral:rRNA from 1 species
CCUACGGGAGGCUGCAGUGGGGAAUUUUCCGCAAUGGGCGAAAGCCUGACGGAGCAAGACCGCGUGAGGGAAGAAGGCUCUUGGGUUGUAAACCUCUUUUCUCAAGGAAGAAGCCAUGACGGUACUUGAGGAAUCAGCAUCGGCUAACUCCGUGCCAGCAGCCGCGGUAAUACGGAGGAUGCAAGCGUUAUCCGGAAUGAUUGGGCGUAAAGCGUCCGCAGGUGGCAGUUCAAGUCUGCCGUCAAAGACUCCAGCUUAACUGGGGAAAGGCGGUGGAAACUGAACGGCUAGAGUGCGGUAGGGGCAGAGGGAAUUCCCGGUGUAGCGGUGAAAUGCGUAGAGAUCGGGAAGAACACCAGUGGCGAAAGCGCUCUGCUAGACCGCAACUGACACUCAGGGACGAAAGCUAGGGGAGCGAAUGGGAUUAGAUACCCCUGUAGUC